rnacentral:rRNA from 1 species
UACAGAGGUGGCAAGCGUUGUUCGGAAUUACUGGGCGUAAAGGGCGAGUAGGUGGCCAUCUAAGUCAGACGUGAAAUCCCCCGGCUUAACCUGGGAACUGCGUCUGAUACUGGACGGCUUGAGUAUGGGAGAGGAACGUAGAAUUCCAGGUGUAGCGGUGAAAUGCGUAGAUAUCUGGAGGAAUACCGGUGGCGAAGGCGGCAUCCUGGACCGACAUUGACGCUGAACGGCGAAAGCUAGGGGAGCAAACGGG